UUAUCUAUCAUUAGACUAUUAUUGGCAGCUGUUAUUAUUCAUGUGCAUUAAUGUUGUACAUUUUCAUAGUUAGUUAUUAGUUAAUUCUUAAUCUUAUGAGAGACUUUAGUCACAUGUUUAUUCCCCCGUGUGGACAAUUUUAGUUAUCUUUGUUAAAGGAGUACUUACAGACUAGUACUAAGAAUUGUUCAUUGGUAUAUUUCUCCUUGUAGAAACCACACACACACACACACUCACAAACUGCUGAUACCUGUAUGGAACAAUGUUGAUGCCUUAUUAAAGACAAGUCGAAGAUUGGACCCGGAUAUUGUGUUUUGUCAUCUCAACUCGCCUGAACAUAUAAAUUGCUGUCCUGACCCGACACCCUGAAGUGGUUGCUAAACCUCCUACUAAUACAUUACAGUCCUCUUUACAUCCACUGACAGUUGCAAUCCAAUCCCACUAUGAGCCUAAGUUGGGACCAUCCAUACUUCCCUGUGCCACACGUAGAACCAUCUGCCUCCAUGGACCAAUCCCAGGCUGAUUGAAAAGCUGCUUGUGCUGAGCCUUGAUUUUAAUUCAAUCUCUGUAAUAAAAUGAGUGAAAAGUCA